rnacentral:lncRNA from 1 species
CCUACUGAGCUGGAAGCUCUGGUGGAUAGGGGCAGGUCUGCUCAUUCACUGCUGCCUUCCCUGCACCUGGUACCAUGCACACAGAAUAAGCCUAGCAGAAUGCCUGUGGAUGGACUGACCAAUGAAAGUAAUGAGGUGCUGGGACCCGAAGGCUGAGUGGCAUGAGUCAUGAGGAGGCAUAGGUGGAGUUGGAGGUGGGAGGAGGAUGAUGUAGCAAAGGGACAUCAGAAGACACUGGAUUCACUCCCUGCCAUCCACCGCCACCUUCCAUUCCAGCCUCCAAGUCUGCAGCAAGGGAAGAUGCAGAUGGAUUUAAAGAACCAUGGAGGAUCUGCUAGAAGAUACUUAGAGAUAAUUUGGUCCACGUGCCUUCAUUCAUCAGAUAAGGGGACCCCUACUCCAUGAGCGAAGUAUUUAUAUCAGCCAGAGUCCCAGCAGGAAGAUGGCAUCUUCCACAAGAUAAGUGGGCCAAGUUUAAAGAUGAGAUGAUCUACACAGGCAACUCUAUAGAUCACUGGGGACUCAUCCUGCAGAUAUCAUUCAAGGUAUCCGGUUCAGAAUCUAUCACCAGCUCAGACUGUAGCCUCUGAAGAGAUCUCAGAUGUUUUGUGCCUUAUACAUUUAAUUCUGAGAUCAUAGAGCCCAAGGAGGUUUUGAGGACCCUCUACCCACACCUUCAGAUGUUUUCAGAGGAUUUGCUGGCAGGGCUGGGCCACUGGGCCUUGCUGGGCUCUAAUUUUCCUACCCACGUGUGUCCUAUAGACCGUGAAUUUUCUUCUAAACACUCUUGACUUUUCACUUGUUAAAUUAAAG